GACGAACGCUGGCGGCGUGCUUAACACAUGCAAGUCGAACGGAAAGGCCCUGCUUGCAGGGUACUCGAGUGGCGAACGGGUGAGUAACACGUGGGUGAUCUGCCCUGCACUUCGGGAUAAGCUUGGGAAACUGGGUCUAAUACCGGAUAGGAGCCAUCUUUAGUGUGGUGGUUGGAAAGUUUUUUCGGUGUAGGAUGAGCUCGCGGCCUAUCAGCUUGUUGGUGGGGUAAUGGCCUACCAAGGCGGCGACGGGUAGCCGGCCUGAGAGGGUGUACGGCCACAUUGGGACUGAGAUACGGCCCAGACUCCGACGGGAGGCAGCAGUGGGGAAUAUUGCACAAUGGGCGCAAGCCUGAUGCAGCGACGCCGCGUGGGGGAUGAAGGCCUUCGGGUUGUAAACUCCUUUCGCUAGGGAAGAAGCGUUGUUGUGACGGUACCUAGAUAAGAAGCACCGGCUAACUACGUG
rnacentral:rRNA from 1 species